rnacentral:lncRNA from 1 species
AAAAGGUCGAGUACACCGAUCAUAUUUUUUUUAUUUUUUAAAGCUAUAAUUUUAUCAAUAAAUGAAAACUGUGGUAAAAAGCUAUGAAGCCACAGUUUGAUGUAGAUUUGAAGGAUGAUAGGUUUCUAAAUCAAUCACCAAUAAGAUCGUUCUGUAUUGGGACUCAAAAUUAUUUAAGACAUUAAAAUUGAAAGUAUUUUUGUUAUAUUAUGUUUAGCAUUGAUUGCGUCUGUUCUUUAAUGUUGAACACUGCGUCUGUUUAAUAUUUGGUUCUGUAAUGUUGAGCACUGCGUCUGUUUAAUAUUUAAUUUUAGUUCUGUAAUGUUGAGCACUGCGUCUGUUUAAUAUUUAGUUCUUUAAUGUUGAGCACUGCGUCUGUUUAAUAUUUAGUUCUUUAAUGUUGAGCACUGCGUCUGUUCAAUAUUUGGUUCUGUAAUGUUGAGCACUGCGUCUGU